CCUGGCGUCACUAGCGCGGUGGUCCCACCUGACCCCAUGCCGAACUCAGAAGUGAAACGCCGUAGCGCCGAUGGUAGUGUGGGGUCUCCCCAUGUGAGAGUAGGGAACUGCCAGGC
rnacentral:rRNA from 1 species